UACAGAGGGGGCAAGCGUUGUUCGGAAUUACUGGGCGUAAAGGGCGCGUAGGCGGCCGCUUAAGUCAGACGUGAAAUCCCUCGGCUCAACCGGGGAACUGCGUCUGAUACUGGGUGGCUUGAAUCCGGGAGAGGGAUGCGGAAUUCCAGGUGUAGCGGUGAAAUGCGUAGAUAUCUGGAGGAACACCGGUGGCGAAGGCGGCAUCCUGGACCGGCAUUGACGCUGAGGCGCGAAAGCCAGGGGAGUAAACGGG
rnacentral:rRNA from 1 species